rnacentral:rRNA from 1 species
UACGUAGGGUGCAAGCGUUGUCCGGAAUUAUUGGGCGUAAAGAGCUCGUAGGCGGUCUGUCACGUCGGCUGUGAAAACCCGGGGCUCAACCCCGGGCCUGCAGCCGAUACGGGCAGACUAGAGUUCGGCAGGGGAGACUGGAAUUCCUGGUGUAGCGGUGAAAUGCGCAGAUAUCAGGAGGAACACCGAUGGCGAAGGCAGGUCUCUGGGCAUUAACUGACGCUGAGGAGCGAAAGCAUGGGGAGCGAACAGG